UACAUACUCCCUCCGUCCUAAAAUACUUGUCGGGGAAAUGGAUAAAAUUGGAUGUAUCUAUAACUAAAAUACGUCUAGGUUCAUCCAUUUCUCCGACAAAUAUUUCAGGACGGAGGGAGUACUAA
rfam:Triticum urartu cultivar G1812 contig209129, whole genome shotgun sequence.